rnacentral:rRNA from 1 species
UGAGCGAUCUACCUAAUUGUGGGGGAUAGCCGGCCCAACGGCCGGGUAAUACCGCAUACGAUCGGAGAGGGGCAUCCCUUUCUGAGGAAAGCCUUCGGGCGCAAUUUGAGGGGCUCGCGGCCUAUCAGCUAGUUGGCGGGGUAACGGCCCACCAAGGCGACGACGGGUAGCCGGUCUGAGAGGGUGACCGGCCACACUGGGACUGAGACACGGCCCAGACUCCUACGGGAGGCAG